rfam:Streptomyces curacoi strain DSM 40107 genomic scaffold PRJNA299217_s012, whole genome shotgun sequence.
CACCGAGUCCGAGGUUCCGGGGUUCACCGGAGCCUGGUGCAAAAGGGA